UGAAAUUGAUUUAUUUAAAGUUUUAUUUUGGCUUUAUGUUAGUUUUUAUUUUGUUUUAUAUGAAAAUUUUUGUGAGUAUUUAUUAUUUUCUUGAAGAUUAUGAUACAUUUAUUUUAGUUGCAGUGAUUAGGUUUGUACUUUAGAUCACUCUAGAGGCAGCAAUUAUAGAUAGCGUUGGCUAAAUUUGUGCCAGCAGCCGCGGUUAGACAAAGAGCGCAAAUUAAUUGUUUCGGCAGGAAUAAAGUUGUUUACUGGUUAUUAUAUUUAAUUUUUUUAGGUGAAAUUUUAAAAUUAUAGGAUGCCUGUUUUUAUUAACUUAUUUCAUAAAUUUUGAUUUUUAAACUAGGAUUAGAUACCCUAUUAUUUUAAUAUGUAUAUUUGUUAUGCCUAGGUAGUAUUAGUUAUGGUCUUGAAACUUAAAAAAUUUGGCGGUAUUCUAGUCUGUUCAGAGGAACUUGUUCUGUAAUCGAUAGUCCACGUUGGACCUUGCUUAGUCUUGUUUUCAGUUUGUAUACCGCCGUUAUUGAGUAUUUUAUUAGAAUAAUAAUUUUCAAUUACCUUUAUUAAGGUUGAUAUCAGGUCAAGGUGCAGCUUAUGAUUAAGAUUGCAAUGAGUUACAAUAAAUUUAUUUAUACGGAUGUUAGAUUUAAACUUCUGACUGAAGGUGGAUUUGAUAGUAAACUUACUUAGAUAGGUAAUUUGAUUUUGGCUCUAGGAUAUGUACACAUCGCCCGUCACUCUUAUUUCUAAAGUAAGA
rnacentral:ncRNA from 1 species